AGCGAACGCUGGCGGCAGGCCUAACACAUGCAAGUCGAACGAACCUUUCGGGGUUAGUGGCGGACGGGUGAGUAACUCGUGGGAACGUGCCUUUAGGUUCGGAAUAACUCAGGGAAACUUGUGCUAAUACCGAAUGUGCCCUUCGGGGGAAAGAUUAAUCGCCUUUAGAGCGGCCCGCGUCUGAUUAGCUAGUUGGUUGAGGUAAUGGCUCACCAAGGCGACGAUCAGUAGCUGGUCUGAGAGGAUGAUCAGCCACAUUGGGACUGAGACACGGCCCAAACUCCUACGGGAGGCAGCAGUGGGGAAUCUUGCGCAAUGGGCGAAAGCCUGACGCAGCCAUGCCGCGUGAAUGAUGAAGGUCUUAGGAUUGUAAAAUUCUUUCACCGGGGACGAUAAUGACGGUACCCGGAGAAGAAGCCCCGGCUAACUUCGUG
rnacentral:rRNA from 1 species